GCGGGAAUAGCUCAGAGGUAGAGCACAACCUUGCCAAGGUUGGGGUCGCGAGUUCGAAUCUCGUUUCCCGCUCCA
rnacentral:tRNA from 3 species